rnacentral:rRNA from 1 species
CCUACGGGUGGCAGCAGUGGGGAAUAUUGCACAAUGGGGGAAACCCUGAUGCAGCGACGCCGCGUGAGUGAAGAAGUAAUUCGUUAUGUAAAGCUCUAUCAGCAGGGAAGAAAAUGACGGUACCUGAGUAAUAAGCCCCGGCUAACUACGUGCCAGCAGCCGCGGUAAUACGUAGGGGGCAAGCGUUAUCCGGAUUUACUGGGUGGAAAGGGAGCGUAGACGGCAGUGCAAGUCUGGAGUGAAAUGCGGGGGCUCAACCCCCGGACUGCUCUGGAAACUGUACGGCUGGAGUGCAGGAGAGGUAAGUGGAAUUCCUAGUGUAGCGGUGAAAUGCGUAGAUAUUAGGAGGAACACCAGUGGCGAAGGCGGCUUACUGGACUGUAACUGACGUUGAGGCUCGAAAGCGUGGGGAGCAAACAGGAUUAGAUACCCUAGUAGUC